rnacentral:rRNA from 1 species
UGGGGAAUAUUGCACAAUGGGCGCAAGCCUGAUGCAGCCAUGCCGCGUGUAUGAAGAAGGCCUUCGGGUUGUAAAGUACUUUCAGUCGGGAGGAAGGUGUCAAGGUUAAUAACCUUGGCAAUUGACGUUACCGACAGAAGAAGCACCGGCUAACUCCGUGCCAGCAGCCGCGGUAAUACGGAGGGUGCAAGCGUUAAUCGGAAUUACUGGGCGUAAAGCGCACGCAGGCGGUCUGUCAAGUCGGAUGUGAAAUCCCCGGGCUUAACCUGGGAACUGCAUUCGAAACUGGCAGGCUAGAGUCUUGUAGAGGGGGGUAGAAUUCCAGGUGUAGCGGUGAAAUGCGUAGAGAUCUGGAGGAAUACCGGUGGCGAAGGCGGCCCCCUGGAAAAAGACUGACGCUCAGGUGCGAAAGCGUGGGGAGCAAACAGG